UUGGCAGCCCUGGAGACUCAGCUGAUCUGUUUAUCACAGAGCAGGUACAGCCUGGCAGCACAAGCAGCUCCCCAUCACUUCAUCAAUGUGCCUUGCCUCUGGGGCCAAAAGGAGAAUUUGGUCUCUGUGGCCCAGUCAAUCUUUGGCCUGU
rnacentral:sRNA from 1 species